rnacentral:rRNA from 1 species
UAGGUAAAAUUUUACAAAUAGGAUUUAAACCAUUUACAUUAUCUAAAACAGAUCAAUAAACCAGGAUUAGAUACCCUGCUAUUUCUGAUAAACUCAUUGGGGGGUAGUAACCGCUAAAUCCCUCAAACCCAAAGAAUUUGGCGGCAAUUCACCAGAUUAGGAGGAGCUUGUUGUAUAAACGACACCACACGACUAACUUACUAUAAACAUGCAUGUAUACCGCCGUAAAAAUUAACCACUAAAAAGUCUUAAUAACCUGACAUUUCCUACCAAUAAAAACAGGCCAUGGUGCAGCGCAUUUUAUAGAAAUAAUGAGCUACAAUUUAUAUUUAAGCAUACAUUAACUAUAAAAAUUAACAAAAGAUGGAUUUAACAGUAACUAAACCUUAGAAUGAUUUAUUGAACCAGCUCUGAAUUGUGCACACAUCGCCCGUCGCUCUUACACAACACAUGGCGCGUCGAUCUAACACAUCGCCCGUCGCUCUUACGGUCCGGCGGCCAUCCCAAACCAACCGUAACCCUG